rnacentral:misc_RNA from 1 species
AGAUACAUACUAAAUGAUAUACUCGAGGACAUACUACUAACACAAUGUUGAGAAGUUUCUGCUUCUGCGUGCGUCAUUUCUCUCUCCUCCUCACUUAGCGCCAUUGUAGCUACACUUUUGUUGUUGUCCAUGGCUUCUAGUGCAUCGCUAGUUUAUUAUUAUUAUUAAGGAAAACAAUGUCUAGUUAAAACAAUAACAACAAUAACACAAACU